AUGUGGAGCCGUAGCGAAAGCGAGUCUGAAUAGGGCGUUGAGUAUUUGGUCGUAGACCCGAAACCAGGUGAUCUACCCAUGGUCAGGUUGAAGUUCAGGUAACACUGAAUGGAGGACCGAACCGACUUACGUUGAAAAGUGAGCGGAUGAACUGUGGGUAGCGGAGAAAUUCCAAUCGAACUUGGAGAUAGCUGGUUCUCUCCGAAAUAGCUUUAGGGCUAGCCUCAAGUGAUGAUUAUUGGAGGUAGAGCACUGUUUGGACGAGGGGCCCCUCUCGGGUUACCGAAUUCAGACAAACUCCGAAUGCCAAUUAAUUUAACUUGGGAGUCAGAACAUGGGUGAUAAGGUCCGUGUUCGAAAGGGAAACAGCCCAGACCACCAGCUAAGGUCCCAAAAUAUAUGUUAAGUGGAAAAGGAUGUGGCGUUGCCCAGACAACUAGGAUGUUGGCUUAGAAGCAGCCAUCAUUUAAAGAGUGCGUAAUAGCUCACUAGUCGAGUGACACUGCGCCGAAAAUGUACCGGGGCUAAACAUAUUACCGAAGCUGUGGAUUGUCCGUAGGACAAUGGUAGGAGAGCGUUCUAAGGGCGUUGAAGCAUGAUCGCAAGGACAUGUGGAGCGCUUAGAAGUGAGAAUGCCGGUGUGAGUAGCGAAAGACGGGUGAGAAUCCCGUCCACCGAUUGACUAAGGUUUCCAGAGGAAGGCUCGUCCGCUCUGGGUUAGUCGGGUCCUAAGCUGAGGCCGACAGGCGUAGGCGAUGGAUAACAGGUUGAUAUUCCUGUACCACCUAGCAUCGUUUUAAUCGAUGGGGGGACGCAGUAGGAUAGGCGAAGCGUACGAUUGGAUUGUACGUC
rnacentral:rRNA from 1 species